UUUAAGUUAUAUACAUUAAAGUAUAAUAUGAGUACACCAACACUUACCGAUCAAAAAGUAUUAUCGACUAUUUCAAAUGAAGUAGUGGUGAAAAUUUUGUCAAAAUUAUACUCCUGUGCAGUUCAAAAUUAUACAUAAUGUAUGCACAGACUAAGCAUGAGAUAGGAUGCAAGAUUUCCUUAAAUAACAAGUCCAAUGCAUAUGUCGAUGAAUCUACACAACAUAUCUAGAGAUAUUCACAAAGUAUCUCUUUUUUUUUUGGUAAACAAAGGAGAGAUAUAUUAGGAUUUAAGUAGUGUUACAAGGAGUAUUGGCUGGUGGGGAUUCUACACUACAAAAAACAAAGGAGUACUCCCACCAGUGGUUACUACAUUGUCCUUAGUAGGACUAACGUUUACUAUAUUUUCUAUGCUAGUUUGCAUUGUAGUUCCAAUACAAAAAGAGAGGUUCCUCCGCAGGAGAGUUGCAUAGAGGGCGCGGGUGCCUUGUUGGUCUACUAGAAAUGCAUGCAUUACAAACGGAGGUGGUUGCAAAAAGACAGUAAAGGUACCAUUGCAUGCUAAUGCUGUUCCAUGUUUGGCUAAUGUAUCUGCUACUUGAUUUUUCUCGCUGUAAAUGUGGAUUAACCA
rnacentral:lncRNA from 1 species